AUCACGACUGAAAAUUAAAUAAAU
rnacentral:siRNA from 1 species